rnacentral:lncRNA from 1 species
GGGGCUGCAGGGUGUCCUGCCAGCGCGGCGGCUUCACCUGCACCCGGAGCUGUCGCAUCCCAGGCAGGGGCUGCCUUAAAUCCCUCCCUCCCUCCUCCCUGGCGAGGAACUUCUCCCGCGGAGCUGGAGGAUGCUGCAAGCUCCUGCGGACGAGCCGGAGGAGUCCUGUGGCAAAGUCAAGGCGAAUGGAGAAGCAACGUGCUCGUGCCGGGUGUCACCGCUGCCACCAGCCCAGCCUGCAGCCGGCCAGUGUCACCCCCAGGACGGAGCUGGGGUGUCUUUGGCCACGCACAGUGGGGACACCCCAUGGCGUGGGAAGGGGCAGGACGGAGACCCCGACUCCUGGGCAUCUUGGCAUCAUGUUUUGGCCACACAGGGAGGGAAGUGCUGAGCACCGCGGCUGGGGGCACCAAGGCUCCGUGCACCCACAGCCCCGAAACAGAGCCAGGCAGCCAAGGUUGAACAGUGGGACGAGGACCAGCAGUAUGGGGAAAGGAAACUGAGCUGAGCUGCUUGGAAAUUUGCUGUCACAAUAUCAUCUGAGACUUCAUCUACCAGCGGCAGUCAGGAAAUCUCUGAUUUGACGGUGGACAGCGGACAGACAGAUCUGCACUUUUGGGGCUUCUUCAAAUUCGGAAUUGUAGAUGGAUGCUUGGCCGCCAGACCGUCUCUGUCCGCCAUUGUCAAGGAUGGGGGCGUGGCUUUCAGGAAGCUGAUGGCCCUAGCCAAGUCACUCAAGAUGGCAGAACUCUGCACAUCUGUGUGGGCUGCCCUGAUGGCCAUCGGGACUCUCAUCGGGGCUGCCAUUGGGGUUGCCGUGAUGUGAGCCCCCACAUUCCUCCCAGGACCCUCACUGCUGUUUGCUGGGACCCCCUGCAUCUCUCCCGUGCACCCCUUCCCCCCCACGCUGUAUCUGACCCCCGCAAACAAACACGUCCCAAAGCCGAGCUCCGACUCUUCCUCCGGUCCUGAUACGCCCAGCAGGGGGGGCCGGGGCGGGACUGUUUCGGUUCCGCCGUCAUUUCAGGGCGACGGGCAGCGCAGCCGCAAUGAAAAACAUCGCAAGAAUGACCAUUGGAGCGGCUCUCGGAGCAGGAUUGUUACAUGUUGGCAUCCCGAUGGCCAUCGGUGCGCUGGGCUUUACUUCAGCUGGCAUCGCUGCGGGG